UACGUAGGGUGCAAGCGUUAAUCGGGAUUACUGGGCGUAAAGCGUGCGCAGGCGGUUGUUUAAGUUUGUCGUGAAAUCCCCGGGCUCAACCUGGGAAUUGCGAUGGAGACUGCACGGCUAGAGUGUGUCAGAGGGGGGUAGAAUUCCACGUGUAGCAGUGAAAUGCGUAGAUAUGUGGAGGAACACCGAUGGCGAAGGCAGCCCCCUGGGAUAACACUGACGCUCAUGCACGAAAGCGUGGGGAGCAAACAGG
rnacentral:rRNA from 1 species